AUUUAUAUAAUUCAUUUAGAAUAUUGCAUUGAAGCUGCAAAAGAAAUAUUAAUUUAUUUGUAAAUA
rnacentral:tRNA from 2 species